GACGAACGCUGGCGGCGUGCUUAACACAUGCAAGUCGAGCGGUAAGGCCCUUUCGGGGGUACACGAGCGGCGAACGGGUGAGUAACACGUGGGUGACCUGCCCUCAGCUCUGGGAUAAGCCUGGGAAACCGGGUCUAAUACCGGAUAUGACUCCAUGACGCAUGUUGUGGGGUGGAAAGCCUUGUGCGGCUGAGGAUGGGCCCGCGGCCUAUCAGCUUGUUGGUGGGGUGAUGGCCUACCAAGGCGACGACGGGUAGCCGGCCUGAGAGGGCGACCGGCCACACUGGGACUGAGGCACGGCCCAGACUCCUACGGGAGGCAGCAGUGGGGAAUUUUGGACAAUGGGGCAACCCUGAUCCAGCCAUGUCGCGUGAGUGAAGAA
rnacentral:rRNA from 1 species